CAACGCGUACAGAAUGGAGGCAGGUUUUCUGCAGCCUGCACCGAUGAUUAAUGCGGCUGUCCCCGGUAUGGACCCGGUGCACAGGUAGAGCGAUGGAACUCUCUUUGCUCCAAGGAAAAGGUAUGGCUAGUUUUUUUUUACCUGGAUGGAAAAGUACGCCUUGGCACUUUCUUUUUACAAGAAGAGUACGUCUUGGUACCUGGCCACCUGGGUACUGGACUGGUGUCAAGUUAAAGGGAAAAUAAUACUGGCAGUACUUGACUACCGUGGCUUAUGGGGUUUCCACAUUGUUUUCUUGCUUAUGGGUUUUCUCUUACUUUGCUUGUAAGCUUCAGCAUUUUAAGACAAACCAGCAAAUAGUCUCGAGCACAAGGAACUUUUUUACAGAUUGUACGGUAACAAAUGGAAU
rnacentral:lncRNA from 1 species